rnacentral:rRNA from 1 species
GACGAACGCUGGCGGCGUGCUUAAUACAUGCAAGUCAACGACUUUUAGAGUAGCAAUAUUUUAAAGGAAGUGGCGCACGGGUGAGUAACACGUAGGUAAUCUGCCUUCAGGACUGACACAACUCGUCGAAAGACGGGCUAAUAUCAGAUAAUGCAGCGGCUCCGCAUGGAGACAGUUGUUAAAGUACAAGCGCCUGAAGAUGAGCCUGCGGUCCAUUAGCUAGUUGGUAGAGUAACAGCCUACCAAGGCAACGAUGGAUAGCUGGUCUGAGAGGAUGAUCAGCCACACUGGAACUGAGACACGGUCCAGACUCCUACGGGAGCAGCAGUAAGGAAUAUUGCUCAAUGGCCGAAAGGCUGAAGCAGCAACGCCGCGU